rnacentral:rRNA from 1 species
GGAGUCCUACGGGAGGCAGCAGUAGGGAAUUUUCGUCAAUGGGCGCAAGCCUGAACGAGCAAUGCCGCGUGAACGAGGAAGGUCUUCGGAUCGUAAAGUUCUGUUGAAGGGGAAAAAGAGCGGAGAGAGGAAAUGGUCUCCGAUUGAUAUUACCCUUCGAGGAAGUCACGGCUAACUACGUGCGAGCCGCCGCGGUAAUACGUAGGUGGCGAGCGUUGUCCGGAAUGAUUGGGCGUAAAGGGUGCGUAGGCGGCCUGCUAAGUCUGGAGUGAACGGUCCCGGCUCAACC